AAAAAAAAUAAAGAAAAGAAAAAAGAACUACUCUGAAAUUUCAUUUUUUAAUUGCUGCCUUAAUUUGAUGUCUUAUAAUAUGCUUUUAAAGUUGUCUGAGACUACUGAAGUCAAACAGUACAAAUUAACUAUAAAUGAUCUUAGUUAUUAUCCAGUCAUUAUUUUUAUUUUGCUAAUGAAUUUAGGAACUCCUGAUAAAAGUUAUAUCUUGGAAUUCUCCAAGUCAUCUCUGGAUUUAGCACAUAACAAGCACUUCCUGAGUUCGGUGCUUGAGUCAGGUGCUUUGGGUAGGGUAGGUAACUAAUAAAACUUGAAACAAACCUUUUGAGCAUUUAUUUGAAGAAUGUCUUGGUGAAAAGUGUGACAAGAAUGGUGGACGAUGUUAGAACAACUCUUCUUUUUGGGAUUUAAAAACAGCCAUUCUUCUAUGAAUUGUUAGAUGCUAUUCUCAAAAUUUUUAGGAUGUAAAAUGUUCUGGGUGUAUAAAGACUUUUGAUGUGAACAAUGUCUUUUGUGUAAUAUAUUUUCAAAUUGGUAGUUUUACAUUACUUUGGGAGUAUUAUUUAAUUACUCUUUGAGAGUCAACAGAGGAGUGAAUGAAUAGGAAUCAUCGUUGGCAAUAGACACUCUUCUCCAUAUGCCAGAAACUAAAUAAGACACAGAUAGAGCUUCAUCAAGCAACAGCUUGUUGAAUUAUAACAUCCAGCAAUUCCUUAACAGCCUAAAGUAAUUUAUCUUACCAGGUGCAUGGCUGUCUUUGGAAGGCUGAAGUUUAACUUGAACUAUACUUUUUUAUUUAAACAUAUUCUGGCUGCUUCCUGUGUAUACAGCUGGGUCUAAAGUAUGGCAAGUUUGUUCAUAUGGAACUCAGGCGGAUUUAAGUCUGAUGUAAAGGAAUUUCCCAUCUUCCUGUCUGGCUUUAUGCACAGGGUUAUGGUGUAGGCUCAGCCCUGCGCAGAACUGUGGAGAGAAACAGAAGCCAGGCCUGCAUGUGUGUGUCUUGUUCAGUGAAAAGCUAUCAAAAGUGUACUGAGAUUCUGUCCAUUUUCAAUUUAUAGGACAAUUAACUUGGAUUUUUAGAAGCUCUGUUUUAAAAGUGGCUUGUCUGUGAGAUCUCCCUAGAUGUUAGUUCCUGGGCUCUCAAAAUACUUAUGAUAGUGACUGGCCCCACAGGCAUGAAAUGUCACAGUCCUUUACAUAUCAUGGCUGAUGGUGCCAUCAUAGUCACCACUGCUAUUGCCCCAAUCACAGUCAGAAAGCAAUUCUCCACACCCUUUUAUUAGCAAAGUUGUAUACAGAGUAAGUCACACAGCUAAGUAUUUGGCCUAAAGACUGACAGUGCUCAUGUAUACACAGGCAGAGGAGUUACUAAUGAUGAAUAAAAAAAUCAAAUGACUGUUCAUUCAGCACGUGUUUACUAAAUGAUGAGGGAUGCAAGGUGUUGUGGAGAAUUCACAUGGUACCUUGCCAAAGGGUCAUGUGGUCUGGUAUAUGCAUAGAAUAGACCAUUUCCACUCAAGUGGUUUAACAUUUGAGGUGGCCUCUGAAAGCCUGUGACAAAGGCUGAUUUCUUGUUUUGCUGAGGCAUGAUUUUGAGUCAGACACUUCGGAAGGCUGAUGCAGGGUAACUAAUCUAGGAGUACAUUUAGCAAGUUGACUGGUAUCCACAUUUGAGGUCAGUGUUUUUUCCACUCAUUGUUUAAUAUAUAAAAUGCCUUUGAGGUGAAAUAGGCUUUCUGUGUGAACAAUUGCUUUGCGAAGAAAGUCACCUUCUACUGUUGGAAAGUGUUUAAGUUCAAGUUUAAGGCUUGAAGGUUCUCGGGCAGAAAAUGGAAUCACUGAAGGCCUCAAGACAACACUUAGCAUUUUGCUGCUUGUAUGAAGGGGAUUAUACUUGCCAGCUGGGACCUGAACUCCUCAUAUGAGUCUAUUGUGUGGGUGGGUGCUGUUAGGGCCUUAAGGAGAGCGUGGAUGCAGAAGAAUUUGUUCCCGACUUGAAGCAGAGUUUCUUCAUAAGCUCCUUCUUCUGGGCCCUAAUUCCAGGUGAUUCCCGUUCCUUCAGAAGUAGAGCAUUAUUCAUAUUUGUGGGAAGAUUCCUGGCAUUUAUUAUGUAGAUGGGAUCAGUUUACUGUGCACAAGUAUAUUAUAUAUUUUUGCAUCUAUGUUCAUAUACACACAGAGACAGGGCAAGGGAAAGCUUGGAAGGGGAAGGAAAAGUCAUAAAGUACAGUGGCAGAGGAUAUUUACUUCCCACCAAAAUCCAUGUUUUCCUCUUCCUGAGCUGACAGCACGAAUGCAUUUGUAGCUUUCUUUGUGGAUAGGUGCAGCCCUGUGACUGAGUUCUAGUCAAGAGCGUGACCAUGGUGAAGAUAGGGAGCCUGUCAGACUGAAUCCAGGGUUUAGCAUAGGAAGAGGAACAAGAAACAAAGGUGUUUGAGCUAUUAGACAUUUCUGGGUUAAUUUCAGCAGUGACUAGUUUUUCCUAACUAAUACUAUAGCUAUGUGUGGGCAGAGAGGCAAAUCCUGAGGUUUCAGUACCUUAGUCUUACUUUGUCAGGUUACCUGAUCUAGUUGUUUCCACCUGAAUGACAGACAGGGCUCUUGGUUGAGGGUGGUUACUGUCCUUGUAGGCUUAGACUGUGUGUGUACUACACUCACCAUUUAUAGAUAUCUGUGCUUCUGUACUCAGUCCUUCACUCACAGGCUUAGGGUAAAUCUAUGGAGUAUGAACUGGUGCUUCACAUUUUCCUCCUCUUUUCCUCAAUUAUCUUAGUGCCUGCCUUAUGCUCGGUGAUAUUGGGAAUAAUGAAAAAAACAUGGAUUCUGUUCGCAAAGAUACUCAGUUGAAAUUGAAAUUUUGUCAAGAGUUGAGAGCUGUUUUAGCUUCAGGUGCUGUUUCUCUUUUAUUCCUAACCCAAUCAGGUUUACCAAGACCACUACACAACUCUACUUAGUAUUGCCUUCCCUUCCCACAUGGACCGCUUAGCAGGUAUGGCAUUGUCCAGAGCAAGUUGAUUGCGUGCCCUUUUCUUCUUAAAUUCUGUUGAGCUGGACCCAUAGUAAAAGAAUCACAAUUGUUACUUUUCUGAGGAACAACUGAGUACUGUGAGAUAAGGGGAAUAGUCAGAAAAUCCUGUUCAGCUGUGUUUUAGCUGUGAGUUUCAGCAGAUUCAAUGGCUCCUUUCAUUUCGUUUAUCAGUGUAUUGCAAGUUGAAUUCAAAUGUCAACCAUUUUCUUCUUUUCUAGGCACUUACCAGUUUUUAUCAUUACAUCAAUUGGGUUAUUACUGUCACUUGUCUGUUUUCCUCCUAGGAUGAUAUACUUAUCCCCUGAGGUUGGCACCAGACCUCAGCUGUCUUUGCGCUCAUUUCACUAGUCCCUUACUCUAAGCAUAACACAGUACUCUUUUUAUAUCAUGUAUGGCUCAGUCAGUGUUUGGUGAAUAAUGGAUUACUUAUAUUUCUUACACCGGUAGAACUUCUUGAGUUUCAUGCUUGGUGAAUUGUUCUUCCUAUGUGGAAAGUUAACUUCCGUGUUACUUCCUUAUACCAUUGUGUUGCUGUUGAUCAUGUGAUAUUUCAUCUUGUUGUUUACCUUUUGUGACACUACUUUGGCUUUAGCUAGUAACAGGAGUCACCCAGCGUGAGGUUUAAGGAGAAAAAGUGAUGGAGUGCUGAAGGUUUCUGUGUGAAUGUAGUAGGAUGUCUUGAACUGGUCCACCAUAUAGUUCUAUAGCUCAUGUCUGGUGAAUGGUACUGGACCACAUUCCUUUGCUUUUAUUGGUAAAAGAAUCAUCUCAUGAGCUGGGUGUGGUGUUGCGUUACUGUAAUGCCAGCUAACUUGAGGGAGGCGGAGGCAGGAGAAUUACAACUUUUCCAGUCCUGACAAAGUUAGAGAGCUCUUCUCUCAAAAACAAAAUAAAAACGGAAGAACUGGGACAUGGCUCAAAUGGUAGAGUGCUUGCAUGUGUGAGGUCCUGGCUUUAAAGGAAUCUUUUCAUGUUACAUGUACUAUGUUCAGUCUAAUAAAAAAACAAAGAAUUUAUCUUCCUGCCUGGUGACUUGUUUGUAUUUUAGGUCCUGCUUGACUCACUGAAGGUUCCAGAGAGUUCUCCAAAAAGGGACUUAUGCACAUACAUAGUUAGGCUUGUUUCCCUAAUAAAAUUACAGCUGAAAUUCUUCCCUUGGGGACUUGUUAUGUUCCUUCCUAAAAGCGUAUUUUAAUAGUGAUAGUGGAACAGAGUGGUGACCUAACAGGACUUAAGACACGGAGGGCUAGGAGAGAAGCUAUGUGUAGGAGGACCUGCCACUCUUCCUUUGUAAGUAGCGUUUUCAUCAGCAUCUCUGUUUCUUAGUGCAGCAGCAGCAGCACUGUCAUCCACAUGUUCCUUCAUUUUUGGGCUCAACAGCUGUCUUCCCUUCCCCGGCUGAGAGAUGACUGAAAUAAAGGGUCAGACCUUUUCCUCUGAUCUUGUUCUUCCUGCCUCUUUUGUCAGCUUAAGGUUCUUUUGUCAAAAGUCGGUGAAAUGAAAGAUCAUCUUCACAUCUUUGAUUCUUUGACCUUUACAUUUAAGAAUCUGUGAUACAAACAUUUUGGUACUGACUUGUUGCUUAACUUGAACUAGGUUUGUGAUGACAGGGAAAUGACUGUUUCUUUCACGCUAUUUAGAAAGCUAUAUGAAUUCCAUAAUAUGGGAUUCUCUGUCAUAAAUUGGCUCCAAGAAAGUAUAAGCAUUUGUGUUGAAAACAGGUAGGUAAUUCUCUCUUUUCAAAGUAGUUUGUGAUGAUUAAUUGUGCAAGCGUUAAAUUUUCCCUGCAUCUCAAAUCACUGUACUAAAUGAUGCGUUGGUGUAUAGCCUCAUCUACUUUCAGGAAAUCGUUUUAGAGAAGUCCUCUUGAAACAUCAAUGUGUUACAGGGUUAUAAGAAAAGCGCCUUGUUUAUUAUGAACACAGAUUAUUGGCGCUUUCUCUAACCGUGCUAAAUGGCAUGAGUCUACCUUUCCUAGUGGCCUAAAUGAUGUUGUUUUAAAUGGUGACCUGAGAAACUUGCCUAUUGACUCUGCAAGUACAUGUCAGACCAGAGACCUACAGAAGGGGCAUUUUUGAACAAACAGUAAUGAUGAAUAAGUACAAGAAAAUGAUUUAUUGUAAACAAUAAUGCUGUGUUCUGCUUUCAUUAUAGUCACUAUGAUGGAAAAAUAAAAAGUUAUCACACUAGAGAUCUAUUUACCUUAUGCUUAUUAACCGAUGCAUGUCCAACACUCACCAAAAAAAUUAUAAGAUAUACUGAACAGCAACAAAAAACAGAAGAGACAAAGAAAUAAGAAACCAGAUUCUGAUGUGAUACAGAUGUUGGAAUUAUGGGAUGAGGAAUUUCAAAGAAUUAUGAUCUACAAGGGCUGUAAUGGAAAAAGUAGACAACAUGCAAGAACAGAUGGGUAGUAUGAGUUGAGAUGGAAACUCUUAAGAACAAGUGGAAGGAAAACUGCUAGAAAUCAAAAACAUAGUAACAGAAACAAAGAAUACCUGGGCACAGAGCUGAAAGUUCCAGCCCUCUAGUCAUGCCUUGGUCUUUCUGUGAUUCGACCCAUCAUGAAGCAGUGAAAGUCACCUUAUUAGCAUAAACUCAGGUGUGGUUGAAAGGGAAUAGGUCAUGACAGUUCAUGGUCUAUUGAUAACCACAAGAAGAAUCUGAGAGCAGAGGUUCUUUUUCUCUCCUGUCACAACAAAAUACUUGAACGUCUGUCUCUUUACCUCUGCCUUUGGUAACUAGCACCUUUUCAAGGAUUUACUUGAGUGAUUAGUUACUGUGCUGGUUGGAGUGCAGAGACCUCAGGUCUCUGCCUUACCCUCCAACACACCACGUUAAGAAUGAGGCAUACACGUGGGGCAUUCUGACUAUACAAAUUAAGUAGUAUAUUAAUGAUUUAAAAAACCAAACCCUGUCUUUCAAACAAUAAUUAACAUGAAGAGGCAUAUAUUCACUGGUGUGAGAGCAAGGAUUGUAUGUACCCAAGAGCAAAAACUUUCUGCACUUUAUUCCAUGGACAAUAUGUUUUUGGAAAUGAACAUUUUAUCUUUUAACUGUUAAAGGCAGAAUAUUGGGAUUUUAAACACUUUUUAUGAAGUUUUUAUAUAUGGUAAAUCAGUAUUACCCCAGAAGAGUUUUCUAUUAAACAACAAAAAAGGAAACUAUUUGAGUUCAGGGGCUGGAUCUUAGCGAUGCUUCUAUCUUCAGUGUUUGCCACAGCUGCAGAAGAUGUUCAGUAAAUUUAGAUUGAUGUGUACAAAUCUGUGAAUCUUAACACAUGGACUAAAGUAGCUGAGUUUUGUUUAUUUUUCAGAAUCCUGUAACGAGGUCACAGUCUCCUCAAACAGUAGUCACUCUGUAGUAACAUAUAACUUGGUUGAAUGAGCAUUUGCUUUUUUCCCUUUGGUUAACUUGAACUGAAAUUCCUACAGCAACAAGGAACAUUUUUUUCUUUUAUUUGCAGUGGUAUUAACAGCUUGACUAGGUGGGGACAGGAGGAACUGGGUGUGAAAGAGAAUAAGAAAGCAACCACAGAAGGUGUUUGAACAGACUCUGAAGAGAUUUGGGUUUUGAUAGUAAGUGGGAGCAUGAGAGUAAAAGCCUGGAUGGUGGUGUUGAGUUUGAAUUUGAACCUUUUACCUAGAGGAAAUUAUGCUCAGCAUUGGGAGAAAACCAAACAGAUAAAUGUGGAGCUACAGUACUUGAGUUCUUGCAGUUAACAGCUGUUAUUUCCCAGCAAGACUGUGUGCCCAUUCUUGUGUCUGUACACUUGGGAGGUAAAGGAAUCUACAGGAAGAAUUUUGAACUCCAAAUAGACAUGACCAGAAAAGAACUACUCGACAUCAUGUCAUAAUUAGUCUGUCAAAACUAGAGACCAAAGAAAGGAUAGUGAAAGCUGAAAGAGAACAACAUCUUACAUGCAAAAGAACACAUAUAAGAUUAUCACUUCAGACCUCUCAGCACAAACUCUAAAAGCCAGGAAAUGGGAUUUUAUUCAGCCAUAAAGAAGAAUGAAAUUUUGUCAUUUGCAGGUAAAUGGAUGGAACUGGAGAACAUCCUCUUAAGCAAAGAGCCAGGUUUAGAAAGCCAAUGAUCACAUGUUUUCUCAUGGGUGGAACAGAGAAUGGGUAAAGGGGAGAAUGGGUUCCAAAUAUGGAGACAUACCUGUAAUUUAUAUAGUAAAACUACAUAUAGAGACAAAUGGAGAGAUGAAGAUUUUUUUUACCUCAUUGAAGCACUUUUAUUUCCACUUACUGAGUUCUGAAAACAGUGUUCAGAUUUGUAAAAUACUUGGUUUAAAACAGUUUUUAAAAUGUCUGUGAGGUUUGUGAAAGGAAAGCAAUAAAGUAAGUUUAUUGGGAUCUCAGCAUACAUUUUACAGUUAGAAGAUGAAAUCAGGCUAGUCCUCUAAAAGGGGAAUGUAUGGGCUGAUCAUCUUCCAAGGGAGUUUAAUUAUUAUGCUUCCAAAGAUAGAAGUUUUAUUCCCAAGAAGUGUAAUCAUUUAGAUACCCCUAAAAGAAAAAAAAAACAAAAUCUUUUUAACCUAUUUUGCUAUGAGUCUAUAGAAACUAAGGAUAAUGUCAUUUUCUUUAAACUAUCUAAAGUGUUGGAGAUUGGGCCUAGUGUCUGUUUCACAAUCAUAUUUCCUUAGGAAGCGUUUCCAAAUUUCCCUAGUAGGUGUUAAUCUAUAUCUUCCACUCAUGGGUUUCUGCAUUCAUUCAACAAACUGUUACCAACUGCUACUGUGUGGGUUUAGAACUGUGAGCAAGACAAACAUGGUAUCUCCUACUGUGAUCUGCAUGUUUGUCUCUGCCCCCAAGUUUACAUGUUGAAACUAGUCACUAAUGUGAUGGUUUUAAGAGCUGAGGCCUUUGGGAGGUGAUUAGUACCCUUACAAAAGAAUCCCUAGAGAGCUGCCUUGUUCUUUCUUCCAUUUGAGAACAUAGCCAGAAGAUGCCAUCUAUGAACCGGGAACUGGGCCCUCACCAGACAUCAGAUCUGCUAGUGCCUUGAUAAUGAGCUGCUUAGCCUCCAGAAUUAUGAGAAGUCAAUUUCUGUUGUUUAUAAACUUCUCAGUCUAUGACAUUUUGCUACAGACACCCAAAUAGAUUAAGACACCUGCUUUCCUAGAAUAUACGGUUUCAUGGGAGGAAUACAGUCUGUGUACACAGAGAUAAGAGGCAUGUCUUUAGUUGUGUAAUAGAUGAGGUUCAGGAUGCAUGCAAGUCUGGAAAGACUUCUUGGAGAAAGUGCUACCAAAGCAAAGUUAGAAUUAGCUGGGUGAACAGAGAAGUUUAGGAACGAUAUAUAAGAGUUGGGAAAUAGCCUUGUGAAGGGAAUAAAAGAGGCAUAGUGGAAAGGAAGCUCAGGGUGGUUCAAACUUGGGGCAGAGGGAGGAGGAAUUAGUGUCAGGAAGAGAAGUUAGAAAAAUAGUGGCUCUAGAAUCCUGAUAGCCUCAUCAGACCGCUCUCCUGAUAGCAAUGGUGAGCUAUUGAGGUGGCUGUAGACAUUUUAGAAGAAGCAUAGUGAGUGCCAAGUAGGGAGAAUGUAUUGGAGGGAGGCAAGGUCUUUGAAGGGUUAAAGAGAUAGGAUGUCAACACCAGAAUUCCAUUUUAAAUGUUUUAUUUCCUAGGAGCCACAACUAGUAACAAGUACUGCAUUAGUUAGGUUCCACUGAGAUAAUAGAUGCAAAGUUAGUAUUUCAGAUAGUGAUGAAUGAAAAUAGGGAAUUGGGGAUGUAGGGUACUGGAUGGCCAGAGAGCAAAUAGUGGAAGGAGAGGGAAUCUAAAGACUAGUAACUUCAAGAGGCUACUGUCUUCCUUGGGGCUGGGGGCCAAAAUGGGAGGGGAUGUUGUUAACUAAACCUGGAGUGGGGACAUUCAUAGAAUUGAUGUGCUGACUGAUAAGGAGGUGCUUGGACCUCUAGGGAGGGAUUGCCUUCUGGCCUUGAUGGUCUCAGUCAGACCAUCAAGGGGGUCUGUGACUGGUAGACAAAGCGCUAAAUGCAUGGGAAUCUAGAGCUAUUAGCUACUGUAGAGCCUGACAGAAGCUGGAAAACAGAGUGUCUUCUCUCCAUGUCUGCCUUCUAGUCUCCUGCCAUUGAUUCCAAUCGACAGAAUCCAAUAAGAAGCCAGUUGCAAGGGAGGCUGGGAAAUGUAGUUUAUAGACUUCUAGCUCCAGUAUCAUACAAUGAAGGCAGAGUGUGGGCUUGGCUGAGACAGCCGGUAACUGAUUUAUUCCAUGCAUUUUAGAAGAGUAACUCUUGCUGUAUACUGUGGGAAGUGAAUUGGAGGGAAGGAAACCUGCGUACUGGUCCAUCAGCCUGGAGGAUGUCAGUAGAAACCUAAGCAGGAAAUUAUGGUGUCUUGAUUUAGAACAAUGAUGAGUGAGAAAGAGAAGUGAGUAGAUGUGGAGAGAUUUAGAAAGCAGAGUUGAACAGCACUUGGCAGUGUACAUAUCAUGAGGGACUAGGAUCUGUAAGAAUAAAGGAUAGGGAGGAGUUGAGGAAGCUUACAUCUUUGACUUAGGUGUAUCAUAGUGCUGUUUACUGCGAUAGAAACAUAGGAUUGGAAACUGUUUAGAUUCAUUCAGUUUUGGACUUGCUGAGUUUGAAGUGCCGGUGGCUAAUCCAGGUGGAAAUUCAUUGCAGAUGUGAAGUAUUUUCAGCAUAUAGAUGGUAUUUGAAGUCUUAGGAAUGAAUGAGUUCACCAAGAGAGAAUUUAGAGUGCAUAGAGAAGACAGCAUAAGGCAGAACCUGGAGGAACAACAACAUUUUAGGAAAGAACACAAAUAGUGAAGUUUGUGAAGAGUACUAUAAGAGUGGUCAGAGAUGUUGGAAGAAAACCAGUGUGUGGUGUCCCAGGAGCCAGGGAACAGUGUUGAAAGAGGAGGUCAUGGUCAGUGAUUCAGGUGCUCUGCAGUUGACUGCUCUGUGUGCUUUGUGGUUCUGUGAUACUCAUUACGUCCUCCCGUUUUUCAGAGAACGAUUCUCCUCUGCUCGUUUAAUCAGUGGUCAGCAAAUUCCAGUUUGUAGAUCAGCCACUGUGUAUUAAGACACAGUUAUGCCCAUCCACUUAUGUAUUCUCUCUGACUGCUUUCACACUGUGGUAACAGCAGAGUUGGAUGGCUGUAUCAGAGACCAUAUGAUCUGCAGAGUUUAAACUAUUUACUCUGUGGCCUUUUAUGUUUGCUGACCCCUGGGUAAUGGUCUUACAUUAGGUGUUUUAUAUAAACUGAUAUGAUUAUCUUUGACCUUUUAUUUUUUCUUUCCCUGUUUUCAAAAAAUCUGUUUAACACUGUUAGUGGAGAUGUGGAGUAUAGAUUGUGCCUUCACAGAGUUGGUAAUGAUUUUGCUUUUGGCAUAGAGGUAGAGGAGCCAAUGGAAUGAAAAGCUAGUGAAUGGCUACAGCCAUCACUUUCAUGACCCUGGGGUUAAGUAGUACUCUUAAAAGGAAAACUGCAAGGAAAAGAAGGUGGAACAAAAGGAGAGAGAAGGAGGAUUAGAUCCAUGAGUUUAAGAUGCUUUUCCAGCUCUAUAAUAUGUAAGGUACUAUAUUUGAUGUUGGGGUUGCUUCAGUGGCUCAGAAUCUGGUUGGAAACACAGACCCAUAAGUGACCAUUAGUUUCCUACAACAUAGUUGACACAGUGAUAAGAUACGCAUAUUUGGUGGAAAAGAGUAACACUUAGCCUGGCUCAGUGGGAAGCAGCCGAAGAGGAGUCAUGGUAUCUAGAGAGGGGCUAUUAGUAGUCUCAGGUUUGAGUUGGCAGUAGAUAUAGAGGAUGUGAGCUGAGCUGGGGCCACCUCUCAGCUCUGAAUCAGAAGCCCUGUGUGAGAAGCAGGACCCUUGAGCUUGUGCAGUCAUGGGUAAAUGGCAGUUCUGAGGUCCUAAGCUAUCUAUUUGUCUGUCACCAAAGUUUGUCUUCUAGACAUUCUUUCUUUUUCUUUUCGUUCCUUUAUUUUUUAAAGACAUGUUUAGUGUGGUUUGAGUUUGUGGGAAUCAUAUCAUUGAAUUUGUUGAUUUUCUCCUAAUGUAAAGUACAACAGUUAUCUUGCAUUAAUAUAUCUUUGACUGGAUUUAUCUUGCCUUUGGGGAUGAUAAAAGCUCAGUGAACUGAGCAUCUAGUAUAGGCAGUGAAAGUCCUGUGUAUUUAAAACUCUGACCUGGGCGGUGUCAUUGUAUUAUCCACACACCUUAAUCAUAAGAAAUUACAUGUUCACAUUAGUCUGUGUUCUUCUAAUGACCUGUGUAAACUGAUUUGGGCAGAUCUUAGGCCUUUCCUACAUGAAUAAAGACAGUGAGAUUCAUACUUGCAGAUUUUAUUUGCUGAUAUUCAUUGCUUUUGUUAGGUUCUUUUGGUUGCAAGUAACAACUCAUUUCAAUUACUUUAGGAAAAUAGGAGUUUUUCAUAAGGUUGUAUAUGAACUGGAAGAGUGAAUGAUCCUAGGAAGUUCUGUGUACUUCUCGCUCUUCUUUCUUUUCUUCUCCUUUCCCUCUUUCUUCUCCCCCUCUUUUUGCCCACAUAUCUACACUGCCCUUUCUUCAACCUACAGAUGCACUUCUCUGGAAUUUUGCUUGUAUAUGACUAGUCUUCUUGCAGCCUCUCUCUGUAUCAUAAAUAACCUCAAAUCUUCAGCUCCUACUGUUGUAUGAACAUUAGCUCUGUUUUCUUAUAGUUUGCUUUCAGAAUCUGAUUGGUUUAGCUUAUCUCUCUCCUAGUGAGGCUGUAUUGUAGCUGGAUUUACUUUUCUUGGGUCAAGGGCCUUCUACUGUUCAACCGAGCUUGGACUGGGAGGCAUGCCCACAUUCAUAAAAUUAGAAGGUCAGUCAGCUUUCUUCAGAAGCACAAAAUGAGAAGCAAGGCAUCCUGGGGCACGAAUUGUCUUUGCCUAGCCCCAAACUCAUUUUUUACACAUAAUCCCAGUGAUCUUCUCUUCUAAUACAAUCAUCACAGGUAAAACUACACAGUCACUUCUUUUCCCAGAAGGAAGCAUCUGAAAGUCGUACAUUACGAAGCAGCCAUGGGGCCACUUACGAAGGAUCAUUCAUUUCAGUCUGAAUCCACAAUUUUCAAUGAUGUUUCUUACAACUCCAGGACUCUCAUCCAUUUUGCAACUCAUAGACUAAAUAGUGUAUGUGUCCACUCUGCCUGCCUUAUGUGCAAUGCUGAGGACUGUCAACACUCAUUUAACAAAGGGGAGAAGAGAUCUCUACCUCUCAAUAUAGCUGUGAAAGACACAUCGUACAUUGUCACUGGCUCAACAUGGGUUCUGUUUAGAAGACUAGAGUCUACACCUAGGGAUGAGCAGUCAUCUUGUUAGCAUUCUGAUGCUUGGAAAUAGUAAGGGUUUUUGGAGAAUCCAUGACUCCUAGGACCUUGGCUUGUGGCCUUGCCUCUUCUUCUGUGAAAUGAGUUCCCUGAUCUUUAAACUGCCACUUUAAAGGUACUGUCUGUAGGUUGUUGAUUGUUCAGGAUCUUUGGAAAUGCCUUGGAAUCUUCUCUUUUCUGUUCUACUUUUCCUUAUGAAAAUCUGGUUGUGGAGUUAUUUUUCUUUUCUUUUUAAUGAAUUCUUCAAAAGUUAAUGACAUGACAUAGAAUAGAAUAGAAAACUCAAACCAGGUUUUUUGGGGGGAGUUUUUCCUUCAACCCCUGUUUAAAAAAUUAGAGCACCCUAACUUUGUAAUAGAUAAAGUAGGUAUCUAUGGGAUUUUGGUUCUAUAAUUCAAGCUUGUUUAUUUCUAAGCAUUCUUUCUUGCUAAUUUCCAUGCGGCUUCUAAGUUAAUUGCAUAGGGAAAAAUGAAAAAUUUAUUUUUCUUCACUGUAUCGAUAAUACUUUUGGAUUUGCACUUAAUCAUUUACUUUUCUAUCUCGCAAAAUACAGUGAGCUGUCUUUAUAUUUACAUACUAUUGAGAAGCAUAUGAUAAAUGAGCAGAACUGCAAUAGUGGAAAUUAGCAUAGCAAUUUUGUAAAUAACCCAGCGUGAAGGAACACUGUGGCCAAGAAACACCCAUGUCACCAACUAAUACCAAGUAACUUCAAACUAAUGAAGGCAUGGGUACUUUUUAAUGAUAUGUUAUUUAUCUACCUUAUCUCGUUUUAUUAAUUUUAAUUUGGCUAAUAAAAGUUCCUGAUUUGUAACCCUGUACUCUUUCUCUUUGGGGCUUCCCAGUUCUAGCUGGGUUGCCUUAUGCAAAGCCAUUCCAUCAAAUACCACAUUGGUACAGCCAUCUAGAACCCCAGGCGAAUUUCUGUGUUACAGGAAGAUACACAGAGUUAGCAGACCAAUGGUGUAAUAAUGGGUUGUCUUAGGUAUUUCAUAUAGGGAGUGAAACACAUGGUGAUUGUCUAGGAAAUAAUACCUUGGCAUUAUAUAAUAUUACGCUCCAAGUGUUUUUAUGGUGAACACAGAAAUCUAAGAAGUUUGCUGCAUAGGACUUUGAGAGAAAGGCUAGAUAUAAAAUUUAAAAACAAAAAGCUAAAAAACCCACAGAUCUUCCAUAGUUAAGCCCUGAUUUGAUAUCCUUGAAACAGCACCAGUUACACAGAACUGCUUUACAGGUUCAGCGCUCCAUCUGGCAUAGUCUCCUGACAUUUUCUGCCCUGCUGUGCCUCUCCAUGGGCAGUACUUGUCUUAUUUAUCUCUGAGAUUCCUAGCACAGAUUUGGAACACAGUAGAUACUCAACAAAAUGCUUGACUGAAAGCAUGAAAACAUAAAUAGAUAAGGUCUAGCUUUCGAGUUUCUGUGGAACACUGAUUCUAUAUAAAGAGAUUAACUAGUACAGCAGUGGAAGAAAACUACCAGGCUGGGAUUUUUAAGAAUACCAAUCAAGUAGAUGCAAAUCCUUGAAUAUACAUCUUUGCCUGUUUGUUUAGUGAUUUGAAUUGGAAAAAGUACCUAUGAGUAAGAUGUGCAGUUUUAAUAGUUGUGCCUAUUUUUAGAGUUUGUACAUAAACUGAGGUGUCCUGCAGAAGUUUAUACCAGUUGACAGUGUUUGAGACUACUGGCAUACCACACUACUCUCCCUGACACACAUUUCACCAUCUUUGUAUGUUCUCUCUCCAGAGCCUGGUCUGUGGUACUUUAUCAGAGCAGUGGGCAUGUUGGAAGAGCAUAUAAACUGUUCAUAAAUCUUACAAGGGCUGAGCACUGGUGGCUCAUACCUGUAAUCCUUGCUACUCAGGAAGCAAAGAUCAGGAGGAUCAUAGUUCAAAGCCAGCCU